CCUUGCCAUGUUCUCAAAGUGCUCGGCACACGGCCUGCAGCCAAAGAAGCUGCGGACAUAGUUUCUCAUCGCUCCCAGCACCUCCUGGGGAUCUGGAGGGGAAUGACGUGAGAGAGAGGGAGAGCGAGAGAGAGAGCAUCGUAAAACUGGAACAGGAUGGUAAUAAGGAGGAUGGAUACUCUGGGCCCACGCUCACUCACACUAGCCCGGGACUCAAUUACACCUGCGUGUCUGGAGGGAGUGUACAGAUGUGGAGGGAGAGCCAUUCAUCCAGCGAUCCCCAGAGCCGGCGGGCAGGCAGGCAUCAGGGUGGGUUGGGAGGGAAUGCAUUCACCUGGGACCAGCACACAUUACAUGCAUGACGGAUGUGAGACGCCCCUGCACGCUUUCUCUCUCACACACACACACACACACACACACACACACACACACACACACACACACACACACACGCACUCUGCUCUCCCAGGAUCAAUCAGACAUUCAGUGAUGAUGGGAGGCCAUCUGUCGCUGUGUGCGGCUGGGGCUUGUUUGGCAGGUGAAGCCAGAAAAGCAAUGGCAUUGUUUUCAUGCAAGAAAUUAAAAAACCUCCCCUCUGUACAGUGAUGGAGAUGAGGGGGGUUGGAAGGGGAGAGAUGGAGGGUGAAUAAAUAAAUCAGCAAUAAAUCAUUUCCUUUUUGCAUUUGUCAACUAAAAAGAGUCCUCUUUGCAUGCCAAGUUAUUGAAACAGCCAAACAAAGAGGCAGAAACAGCAGAUGAAUUUGCAGGGUGAGGAAUGAUCAGCAGCGCUUUAUGAUAGUGAAUAAUGGGAGCGAUUUUGAUGCUCUGAUCCCAUUAAGAGGCCAGAUGUUUAAAAGUAUUCUCAUGAAUAGGGUUCAGAUAAUGAGCACACGACGAAGGUUUUAAGCAGAAAGCAAAGUCAUCGCGUGUGGAACAAUAGGAGCCAAAAGGGAAAUAAACAUGGUGUUUGUGUUUUUCAGAUGAAGCUAAAUGGAAAUUACUGUAAAAAGUUUGUGAUGUUGUUGAAAUAUAUACAAAAAUAGCUCAUGUUCACCUCACACCUUCAUUUAACAUCCACCCACUCAAUAUAAAUGAGAACUGUUUGAUUCACAGGUGCAUCCUGCAUGUCUGUCUAUAUUUCAAAUGUUCCUAAUAAGGAUGGAGAAAUAUUAUUUCUUAAACCUACAUCAGGUCCUUUCUUUAGGUUAAUAAUAAUGUUGAAAAUCUUGUAGUUAAAGUUUUGUGUGGAAUUUGUAAAUUCAGUCUGUUGCACUGACUUCAGACAAUAAACAAUGCCGACUGGUGGUUGCAGACCAUACUUGAUGAAAAACAGAUAACAACCUGCAAUUCUGGACGUUCUUAAGUGAAGUUGAAUGCAUUGUUACAUCCUGCAGGAGGUGGCACUUCUUACUGUUGAACCAUGGUUAUUAUUAGAGUUUGGCUCAUCCACAAUCUGGCCUCCUGUAUUUGCAUAGUAGGUUUGUCAUUUUAAGGAAGUGGACAAUAAAACCUUCAGAGAGCAAGUCUGCACUAACUUCUCCUGCACUCCUCAUUAGUGGCACACUGACAAAGAACGGGGGAAAACACUAUAUAAAUUCAAGUUCUCUCUUGCCACUUGCAAAUAUUAUUUUGGACAUGCACGUAGCUGAACCCUUUGCUAAAUUGUCCUUAACCUGCCUUUUUAUUGUUGCGUUUAAAAACACAGAAUGCAAUAAAGUCCUACACACCCA